rnacentral:lncRNA from 10 species
UUUUGAGUAGAUGACACUGGCCACGCGAGGCUCAGAAGUGGAAGAGAUGUGCCUUGACUCAGAUGAGACUUUGGACUUGGACUUUUGAGUUAAUUCUGGAAUGAGUUAAAACUUUAGGGGACUGUUGGGAAGGCAUUAUUGUGUUUUAAAUGUGAAAAGAACAUGAGGUAUGGGAGGGGUCAGGGGUGGAAUGAUAUGGUUUGGCUCUGUGUCCCCACCCAAAUCUCAUGUCAAAUUUUAAUCCCCAGUGUUGGUGGAGGAGCCUAGUGAGAGGUGACUGAAUCACAGGGGCAGACUUCCUCCUUGUUUCUCUUGUGAUAGUGAGUGAGUUCUCAUGAACUCUGGUUGUUGUAAAGUGUGUGGCACCUUUCCCUUCACUCUCUCUCUUCCUCCUGCUCUUGCCGUGAGAAUAAGUGCAUGCUUCCCCUCCUGCCAUGGGAAUAAGUGCAUGCUUCCCCUCCUGCCAUGAGAACAAGUGCAUGCUUCUCCUUUUGCCUUCUACCAUGUUUGAAAGUUUCCUGAAGCCUCUCCAGCCAUGCUCCCUGUGCAGCCUGCAGAACUAUGAGCCAAUUAAACAUGUUUUUGUAUAUAAAUUACCCAAUCUUAAGUAGUUCUUUAUAGCAACACAAGAAUAAACUCAUACAACCCCCAUUAUCAUUCAGCUAAAUAUGGUUGGGUUUUUGGAGCCUCAAGCAUGAAGGUGAACUGGCUAUGGCUAUACCAGCCUGAAAGGAUUGAACUCUCCCCUGGAAUCCCAGAACAAAUUCCUUCAACUGAAAAUGUCUCUCCUGUCUCGAGGAGCAAGUCCCCACAAAUUUAUUUUCUCACUUUCAUCCAAACUCUGAUAAUUCUGGAAAGAAGACCAAAGAUUUGUCAAUAACAGGCACUCUUAGGGCAGUGUCUGUUCCCUGAGCUGAUCAUAGGAGCAUGUUGGGAAAUUUCAUCAAAUGUAAAAUCAAAGCCUUGUAUUAGACUUAGCAAAAGUUAGCCGUUGGCAAAUUGUGAAAUUGGUUAAGUAUGCCUGUGGCACCUUCCCACUUUCAUAAUUAAUUUUUAUGCCCUCCCACUUGGCUCUUAUAACCCUACAAGUACAAAUAAUUGGUCAUUUGUGUGACUUUCUGUUUAUUGCAUGUCUCUAUUUAACUUGCUAUAAUUUGCAUAUGUGUGGAGACUACACUUGUCUUUUUGGCUACUAUAUCCUUCUGUCCCCUAAUAUUGUACCUGAUUAUGGAAUACGCCAAUUUAUUAAAUGAAUAAAGUUUUUUUAAAUAUCUUGACCCCUUUUUGGAACAUUAUAUAGCACAAAAAUAAUUGUUCAGUGACUGUACCUUAACUGAAUGGAUUGUAUGAGUAAUGGAAGUGGUUAAGAUAUGAAUCACUCUGGGAUUGCAUUUCCACAAAACUUUUCCAAGACCUAUCAUAAGAGGGAGGGAAGAGUGAGACCUCCCAAUACACUGUAUAUUUACAAGAACUGCAAAACUUUCAAUGGUAUGUUUCUUUACUUGUAGCAGGCUUUAGGUUUCAACCUGUUCUCUCUAAUGCCUGCCACUGUCUACCUCAUCUCUGUGACUUCUGUCUCCAUGUAGUUGGCUGUGAAAUAGGAUGCAGUUUCUUCUUCUUCCCUUGCUAUUUUUGUUUAAUGGACACAAGUCCCUAUUUAAUCACCUGGAAAAGCUACCAGAAGGGGAAGAAAGCAAGCCACAUUGAGAGUAUACACUACUCUUACUAAUAUAAUCUUAGGCCAUUUGUACUGUUUUUGUUUCUGGGCCAUAUUGUAAACUCUUUG